rnacentral:rRNA from 1 species
UGCCAGACUCCUACGGGAGGCAGCAGUGGGGGAUAUUGCACAAUGGGGGGAACCCUGAUGCAGCGACGCCGCGUGGGUGAAGAAGCGCCUCGGCGCGUAAAGCCCUGUCAGCAGGGAAGAAAAUGACGGUACCUGAAGAAGAAGCCCCGGCUAACUACGUGCCAGCAGCCGCGGUAAUACGUAGGUGGCAAGCGUUGUCCGGAUUUACUGGGUGUAAAGGGCGUGCAGCCGGGCCGACAAGUCAGAUGUGAAAUCCGCGGGCUUAACCCGCGAACUGCAUUUGAAACUAUUGGUCUUGAGUACCGGAGAGGUCAUCGGAAUUCCUUGUGUAGCGGUGAAAUGCGUAGAUAUAAGGAAGAACACCAGUGGCGAAGGCGGAUGACUGGACGGCAACUGACGGUGAGGCGCGAAAGCGUGGGGAGCAAACAGGAUUAGAUACCCGCGUAGA